CCUACGGGAGGCAGCAGUGGGGAAUAUUGCACAAUGGGGGAAACCCUGAUGCAGCGACGCCGCGUGAGUGAAGAAGUAUUUCGGUACGUAAAGCUCUAUCAGCAGGGAAGAAAAUGACGGUACCUGACUAAGAAGCCCCGGCUAACUACGUGCCAGCAGCCGCGGUAAUACGUAGGGGGCAAGCGUUAUCCGGAUUUACUGGGUGUAAAGGGAGCGUAGACGGCAGCGCAAGUCUGGAGUGAAAUCCCAUGGCUUAACCAUGGAACUGCUUUGGAAACUGUGCAGCUAGAGUGCAGGAGAGGUAAGCGGAAUUCCUAGUGUAGCGGUGAAAUGCGUAGAUAUUAGGAGGAACACCAGUGGCGAAGGCGGCUUACUGGACUGUAACUGACGUUGAGGCUCGUAAGCGUGGGGAGCAAACAGGAUUAGAUACCCCUGUAGUC
rnacentral:rRNA from 1 species